rnacentral:tRNA from 4 species
AGGCGCGUAGCUCAGCUGGUUAGAGCACCACCUUGACAUGGUGGGGGUCGUUGGUUCGAGUCCAAUCGUGCCUACCA